CAGCCUCACUGUUCCGAAGAGGAAACCGGCUCAGAGAGGCACCUGCCCGGACUCACACAGCGCGGCAGGGGAGGGCUCGUGAGGUCCCGCUUGGGUAGGAGGCUCUGACCCUGAAGCGUGGAGGCUGGACCGAAGUAACGUCCUCUCCCAGCCCCCGGGGCCCCCAAAGAAGACUGAUGCGUGGCCAGUGGAGGGGAAAGUGCUGGAUAUCCCCACGGAGGACCAGACGGGUCAAGGCUUCUAUUCGAUCUCUUUCCCCUAGACCCCCAGCCGCCCAGCCAUGUCUAGCCCAGAAGCCCUGCCCGCCCCAGCCCCAGGUCGGGUCCCCCCAUCUCUACCGUCAGCCUCUCCCCUGACCAGGUCCCUCUGGGAGCAAAAGCCAAGAGGGAUCCUUGAAGUGGAAAGAGGGAUGGGAACCCAGAAAAGACACACACGCCCCGCCCCGCCCAGUGGCCACGUGAAAAUAUGACUGAUUUCCAGAGGAGUCGGGGAGCCCUGUCACCCAGCCCAAGACCUGUGGCCUCCCCACCAUGAGGCUGGAUUCCUCCCUUGCCCCCAGGGCACUCAAUAAAGGCUCAUAAAGAAACGAA